CCUACGGGAGGCAGCAGUAGGGAAUCUUCCACAAUGGGCGAAAGCCUGAUGGAGCAACGCCGCGUGGGUGAAGAAGGUCUUCGGAUCGUAAAGCCCUGUUGUUAGAGAAGAAAGUGCGUGAGAGUAACUGUUCACGUUUCGACGGUAUCUUACCAGAAAGCGGCGGCUAACUACGUUCCAGCAGCCGCGGUAAUACGGAGGUGGCAGGCGUUAGCCGGAAGUUUUGGGGGUAAAGGGAACGCAGGCGGUGUUGUAAGUCUGAUGUGAAAGCCUUGGGGUUAACCGAAGUAAUGCAUUGGAAACUGGGAGACUUGAGUGCAGAAGAGGAGAGUGGAACUCCAUGUGUAGCGGUGAAAUGCGUAGAUAUAUGGAAGAACACCAGUGGCGAAAGCGGCUCUCUGGUCUGUAACUGACGCUGAGGUUCGAAAGCGUGGGGAGCAAACAGGAUUAGAUACCCCAGUAGUC
rnacentral:rRNA from 1 species